UACGGCCAUAUCACGUUGAAACACCGAAUCCUGUAAGAUCACCGAAGUUAAGCAACGUUGAGCCUAGUCAGCAACUAGAUGGGUGACUGCUUGGUGAUACCAGAUGCUGUAA